rnacentral:rRNA from 1 species
AUUGAACGCUGGCGGCAGGCCUAACACAUGCAAGUCGAGCGGAUGAAGGGAGCUUGCUCCUGGAUUCAGCGGCGGACGGGUGAGUAAUGCCUAGGAAUCUGCCUGGUAGUGGGGGAUAACGUCCGGAAACGGGCGCUAAUACCGCAUACGUCCUGAGGGAGAAAGUGGGGGAUCUUCGGACCUCACGCUAUCAGAUGAGCCUAGGUCGGAUUAGCUAGUUGGUGGGGUAAAGGCCUACCAAGGCGACGAUCCGUAACUGGUCUGAGAGGAUGAUCAGUCACACUGGAACUGAGACCGGGUCCAGACUCCCACGGGAGGCAGAAGGGGGGAAUUUUGGCCAGUGGGCGAAAGCCUGAUCCAGCCAUGCCGCGGGUGUGAAGAAGGUCUUCGGUUUGUAAAGCCAUUUAAGUUGGGAGGAAGGGCAGUAAGUUAAUACCUUGCUGUUUUGACGUUACCAACAAAAUAAGCCCCGGCUAACUGCGU